rnacentral:siRNA from 1 species
GACUUGAGCCAUGAAUCUUGUGGG